UGCAAGUCGAACGAGAAUCUACUGAAAGAGUUUUCGGACAAUGGAAGUAGAGGAAAGUGGCGGACGGGUGAGUAACGCGUGAGGAACCUGCCUUGAAGAGGGGGACAACAGUUGGAAACGACUGCUAAUACCGCAUGAAGCAUAGGGGUCGCAUGAUUCUUAUGCCAAAGAUUUAUCGCUUCAAGAUGGCCUCGCGUCUGAUUAGCUAGUUGGCGGGGUAACGGCCCACCAAGGCGACGAUCAGUAGCCGGACUGAGAGGUUGAACGGCCACAUUGGGACUGAGAUACGGCCCAGACUCCUACGGGAGGCAGCAGUGGGGAAUAUUGGGCAAUGGGCGCAAGCCUGACCCAGCAACGCCGCGUGAAGGAAGAAGGCUUUCGGGUUGUAAACUUCUUUUAAGAGGGAAGAGCAGAAGACGGUACCUCUAGAAUAAGCCACGGCUAACUACGUGCCAGCAGCCGCGGUAAUACGUAGGUGGCAAGCGUUGUCCGGAUUUACUGGGUGUAAAGGGCGUGCAGCCGGGUCUGCAAGUCAGAUGUGAAAUCCAUGGGCUCAACCCAUGAACUGCAUUUGAAACUGUAGAUCUUGAGUGUCGGAGGGGCAAUCGGAAUUCCUAGUGUAGCGGUGAAAUGCGUAGAUAUUAGGAGGAACACCAGUGGCGAAGGCGGAUUGCUGGACGAUAACUGACGGUGAGGCGCGAAAGUGUGGGGAGCAAACAGGAUUAGAUACCCUGGUAGUCCACACUGUAAACGAUGAAUACUAGGUGUGCGGGGACUGACCCCCUGCGUGCCGCAGUAAACACAAUAAGUAUUCCACCUGGGGAGUACGAUCGCAAGG
rnacentral:rRNA from 1 species